AUGAUAGAACCAUGCCACCUUUGUCCAAAGAUGGAGCGGAUGAAGAACAUUCAAAGAGUACCACAGCUACCGCCGACCCAAACGAAACAAACCACACAUAGUUACGGCCAGCACAUCGCGAGGAAGCAGAGAAAACAUACAAAAAUGAGGCAGCUAAGCUUAGGCACGCUUGCACUUGAGGUUCCUCAUGCAGGAGAGGUGCAUCUCGGCGACCUUCACGACCUUGGCAAUGCCACGGCUGGGGCAGCUCCGCCCGGGCACGCAGCGGAUCUCGGCCUCCCGCUCCACCUGGCAGAAGCACCUGGGGUUCUCCACCAUGGCGCAGCACCUCUCGCCGAACCCGCGGCGAAGGCAGUUGAUGAAGUAGCUGCCCUGCGUCGCGCAGCUCUCGGGCGGGAACGCCGUGGCCGGCGUCGCCGCGAGCGCGGCGCACACGGCUACAAGAGCGAGCGCGGCGGCGAGCUUCACGGACGCCAUUGA
rnacentral:rRNA from 1 species